rnacentral:rRNA from 1 species
AUUGAACGCUGGCGGAAUGCUUUACACAUGCAAGUCGAACGGUAGAGGGGGCAACCCCUUGAGAGUGGCGAACGGGUGAGUAAUAUAUCGGAACGUGCCCAGUCGUGGGGAUAACGUAGCGAAAGCUACGCUAAUACCGCAUACGAUCUAUGGAUGAAAGCGGGGGAUCGCAAGACCUCGCGCGAUUGGAGCGGCCGAUAUCAGAUUAGGUAGUUGGUGAGGUAAAGGCUCACCAAGCCGACGAUCUGUAGCUGGUCUGAGAGGACGACCAGCCACACUGGGACUGAGACACGGCCCAGACUCCUACGGGAGGCAGCAGUGGGGAAUUUUGGACAAUGGCGCAAGCCUGAUCCAGCAAUGCCGCGUGCAGGAUGAAGGCC